rnacentral:rRNA from 1 species
UACGAAGGGGGCUAGCGUUGCUCGGAAUCACUGGGCGUAAAGCGCACGUAGGCUGGUCUUUAAGUCAGGGGUGAAAUCCCGGAGCUCAACUCCGGAACUGCCUUUGAUACUGGAGAUCUUGAGUCCGGGAGAGGUGAGUGGAACUCCGAGUGUAGAGGUGAAAUUCGUAGAUAUUCGGAAGAACACCAGUGGCGAAGGCGGCUCACUGGCCCGGUACUGACGCUGAGGUGCGAAAGCGUGGGGAGCAAACAGG